GACGAAUGCUGGCUGCGUGCUUAACACAUGCAAGUCGAACGGUGAAGGGGAGCUUGCUCCCCGGAUCAGUGGCGAACGGGUGAGUAACACGUGGGCAACCUGCCCCUCACUCUGGGAUAACUCCGGGAAACCGGGGCUAAUGCCGGAUACGACCGGGAGCGACAUCGCUCCUGGUGGAAAGAACUUCGGUGAGGGAUGGGCCCGCGGCCUAUCAGCUAGUUGGUGGGGUAACGGCCCACCAAGGCGACGACGGGUAGCCGGCCUGAGAGGGCGACCGGCAACACUGGGACUGAGACACGGCCCAGACUCCUACGGGAGGCAGCAGUGGGGAAUAUUGCGCAAUGGGCGAAAGCCUGAUCCAGCAACGCCGCGUGAGGGAUGACGGCCUUCGGGUUGUAAACCUCUUUCAGUACCGACGAAGCGUAAGUGACGGUAGGUACAGAAGAAGCACCGGCCAACUACGUGCCAGCAGCCGCCGUAACAC
rnacentral:rRNA from 1 species